rnacentral:rRNA from 1 species
AACGAACGCUGGCGGCAUGCCUAACACAUGCAAGUCGAACGAAGCCUUCGGGCUUAGUGGCGCACGGGUGCGUAACACGUGGGAAUCUGCCCUUCGGUUCGGAAUAACAGUUAGAAAUGACUGCUAAUACCGGAUGAUGACGUAAGUCCAAAGAUUUAUCGCCGAAGGAUGAGCCCGCGUAGGAUUAGGUAGUUGGUAGGGUAAUGGCCUACCAAGCCGACGAUCCUUAGCUGGUCUGAGAGGAUGAUCAGCCACACUGGGACUGAGACACGGCCCAGACUCCUACGGGAGGCAGCAGUGGGGAAUAUUGGACAAUGGGCGAAAGCCUGAUCCAGCAAUGCCGCGUGAGUGAUGAAGGCCUUAGGGUUGUAAAGCCCUUUUACCAGGGAUGAUAAUGACAGUACCUGGAGAAUAAGCUCCGGCUAACUCCGUG